UCCUGAGGGAUAGCUUGGUUGGUAGAGCAUGAAACUCUUAAUCCCAGGGUUGUGGGUUCAAGCCCCAUAUUGGGUGAA